CCUACGGGUGGCAGCAGUGAGGAAUAUUGGUCAAUGGCCGUAAGGCUGAACCAGCCAAGUCGCGUGAAGGAAGAAGGUUCUAUGGUUUGUAAACUUCUUUUAUAGGGGAAUAAAGGUAUCCACGUGGGGAUUUUUGCAUUUACCCUAUGAAUAAGCAUCGGCCAACUCCGUGCCAGCAGCCGCGGUAAUACGGAGGAUGCGAGCGUUAACCGGAUUUAUUGGGUUUAAAGGGUGCGUUGGGUGGUGUUGAAGUCAGCGGUGAAAGUUUGUGGGUCAACUAUAAAAUUGCCGUGGAAACUGGAAGACUUGAGUGUGUUUGAGGUAGGCGGAAUGCGUGGUGUAGCGGUGAAAUGCAUAGAUAUCACGAAGAACUCCGAUUGUGAAGGCAGCUUACUAGGCCAUAACUGACGCUGAAGCACGAAAGCGUGGGGAUCAAACAGGAUUAGAUACCCCUGUAGUC
rnacentral:rRNA from 1 species